GGAGUUAGCCGGUGCUUCUUCUGCGAGUAACGUCACAGAUGUAAGGUAUUAACUUACACCCUUUCCUCCUCGCUGAAAGUGCUUUACAACCCGAAGGCCUUCUUCACACACGCGGCAUGGCUGCAUCAGGGUUUCCCCCAUUGUGCAAUAUUCCCCACUGCUGCCUCCCGUAGGAGUCUGGGCCGUGUCUCAGUCCCAGUGUGGCUGAUCAUCCUCUCAGACCAGCUAGGGAUCGUCGCCUAGGUGAGCCUUUACCUCACCUACUAGCUAAUCCCACCUGGGCUUAUCCAUCAGCGCAAGGCCCGAAGGUCCCCUGCUUUCCCCCGUAGGGCGUAUGCGGUAUUAGCAGUCGUUUCCAACUGUUACUCCCCCACAAAUGGGCAAAUUCCCAGGCAUUACUCACCCGUCCGCCGCUCGUCAUCUUCAAAGCAAGCUUUUAGAAAUGUUACCGCUCGACUUGCAUGUGUUAGGCCUGCCGCCAGCGUUCAAUCUGAGCCAUAAUCAAACUCUGA
rnacentral:rRNA from 1 species